CAUGCAGUCGAACGAUGAACCUCCUUCGGGAGGGGAUUAGUGGCGAACGGGUGAGUAACACGUGGGCAAUCUGCCCUGCACUCUGGGACAAGCCCUGGAAACGGGGUCUAAUACCGGAUACUGACCCGCUUGGGCAUCCAAGCGGUUCGAAAGCUCCGGCGGUGCAGGAUGAGCCCGCGGCCUAUCAGCUUGUUGGUGAGGUAAUGGCUCACCAAGGCGACGACGGGUAGCCGGCCUGAGAGGGCGACCGGCCACACUGGGACUGAGACACGGCCCAGACUCCUACGGGAGGCAGCAGUGGGGAAUAUUGCACAAUGGGCGAAAGCCUGAUGCAGCGACGCCGCGUGAGGGAUGACGGCCUUCGGGUUGUAAACCUCUUUCAGCAGGGAAGAAGCGAAAGUGACGGUACCUGCAGAAGAAGCGCCGGCUAACUACGUGCCAGCAGCCGCGGUAAUACGUAGGGCGCGAGCGUUGUCCGGAAUUAUUGGGCGUAAAGAGCUCGUAGGCGGCUUGUCACGUCGGUUGUGAAAGCCCGGGGCUUAACCCCGGGUCUGCAGUCGAUACGGGCAGGCUAGAGUUCGGUAGGGGAGAUCGGAAUUCCUGGUGUAGCGGUGAAAUGCGCAGAUAUCAGGAGGAACACCGGUGGCGAAGGCGGAUCUCUGGGCCGAUACUGACGCUGAGGAGCGAAAGCGUGGGGAGCGAACAGGAUUAGAUACCCUGGUAGUCCACGCCGUAAACGGUGGGCACUAGGUGUGGGCGACAUUCCACGUCGUCCGUGCCGCAGCUAACGCAUUAAGUGCCCCGCCCGGGGAGUACGGCCGCAAGGCUAAAACUCAUAGGAAUUGACGGGGGCCCGCACAAGCGGCGGAGCAUGUGGCUUAAUUCGACGCAACGCG
rnacentral:rRNA from 1 species